rnacentral:ncRNA from 1 species
CGAUGGUGCCCUACGGGGCUUGAUAGGGAACACGGUGACGACGCCGCCCGAGCGAUCCGCGUCCGGCUGGACGUGCAGCGGAUUGCCCGGCUCUUUGCUUCAGGCGCUCCAGUCCGUGGCUGCCCCCGCAACUGUAAGCGGCAUGGCCCCUGCCGACAGGCCACUGGGAACCUCGGGUCCCGGGAAGGCGGCAGGGGAUGACGACCGCGAGCCAGGAGACCUGCCAUCGACCGU